AUCUUAAAAAGAAGUAACAUGAAAAUGAAAAAGGGCAGCAAGGCUCUAAUAAGUGUAGUGCAGUGUAAGUGAAGUUAAGUGCAGUGUAAGUGCAGUGUAAGUGAAGUGAAGUGCAAGGAAAAAUAUCUGUUUGGCUGGAAAGGGGCUAAUAGGCGCAACGAUAAGCAAGUCUGGAAGACGAGUACAACGAGGAGCCACAAGGAACAAGGCUGGAAGAUGAAUGCAAAUCUCUCAAAAAGAAAGCAAAUGCUUGAAACACAUUGUUAUGCAACGAUAAACUUAUACUUUGGGAACACGUCGCAAAAUGAGAAGCUAAAGUAAAUGAAGAAGAAGAUUUAUCCGGAAAAGGUUAUACCGUGUUAUAAAAUUCUGAAAAAGAACCAGUCUGUUGGAGGAAGAUGCAGCGAAUGCAGAGAGCGGAAUAAAUAUUUUCGGCAAAUAAAUCAAUAAAGCGAAUGCAUUAAGCAUAUAAGUGAAAAAAUAUAAUGUAAUUAUGCUAACAGGUGAAGUGCAAGAAGAAGCAGAAGUGAAGUGUGAGUGAAGUGAAGUGCAGUUUAAAUGAAAAGAAGAGAAAGAGUGGCGGUAGAGCAGUAGGAACUAGGAAUAGCAAAUCUGCCAAAUAAGUGAAUAAUUCCUAUAAGAGAUAAAUAUAUAUCCUUUAAAUAUAAAGACAAUUUUAUAAUUUUUUUCCAGUGUUAUACAGUGUUAUACAAUCUUAAAAAGAAGUAGCAUGAAAAUGAAAAAUGGGCAGCAAGGCUCUAAGUGUAGUGCAGUGUAAGUGAAGUGAAGUGCAGUGUAAGUGCAGUGUAAGUGAAGUGAAGUGCAAGGAAAAAUAUCUGUUUGGCUGGAAAGGGGCUAAUAGGCGCAACGAUAAGCAAGUCUGGAAGACGAGUACAACGAGGAGCCACAAGGAACAAGGCUGGAAGAUGAAUGCAAAUCUCUCAAAAAGAAAGCAAAUGCUUGAAACACAUUGUUAUGCAACGAUAAACUUAUACUUUGGGAACACUUCGCAAAAUGAGAAGUGAAACUAAAUGAAGAAGAAGAUUUAUCCGUAUUUAUCUUGAAACACAUUGUUAUGCAACGAUAAACUUAUACUUUGGGAACACUUCGCAAAAUGAGAAGUGAAACUAAAUGAAGAAGAAGAUUUAUCCGUAUUUAUCUUGAAAUAUAUUGUUAUGCAAAGAUGAAUUUAUAUUUUGGGAACACGUCGCAAAAUGAGAAGUGAAACUAAAUGAAGAACAAGAUUUAUCCGUAUUUAUCUUGAAACACAUUAUUAAGCAACUAUCAACUUAAACCUGGGAAACACUCGCAAAAUGAGAAGUGAAACUAAAUGAAGAAGAAGAUUUAUCCGUAUUUAUCUUGAAACACAUUGUUAUGCAACGAUAAACUUAUACUUUGGGAACACGUCGCAAAAUGAGAAGCUAAAGUAAAUGAAGAAGAAGAUUUAUCCGGAAAAGGUUAUACCGUGUUAUAAAAUUCUGAAAAAGAACCAGUCUGUUGGAGGAAGAUGCAGCGAAUGCAGAGAGCGGAAUAAAUAUUUUCGGCAAAUAAAUCAAUAAAGCGAAUGCAUUAAGCAUAUAAGUGAGAAAAUAUAAUGUAAUUAUGCUAACAGGUGAAGUGCAAGAAGAAGCAGAAGUGAAGUGUGAGUGAAGUGAAGUGCAGUUUAAAUGAAAAGAAGAGAAAGAGUGGCGGUAGAGCAGUAGGAACUAGGAAUAGCAAAUCUGCCAAAUAAGUGAAUAAUUCCUAUAAGAGAUAAAUAUAUAUCCUUUAAAUAUAAAGACAAUUUUAUAAUUUUUUUCCAGUGUUAUACAGUGUUAUACAAUCUUAAAAAGAAGUAGCAUGAAAAUGAAAAAUGGGCAGCAAGGCUCUAAGUGUAGUGCAGUGUAAGU